CUCAGACUGGAAAGGCGGACGGCA
rnacentral:piRNA from 1 species